AUGGACAUGAGGGUCCCCACUCAGCUCCAGGGGCUCCUGCUGCUCUGGCUCCCAGGAGUCAGAUGUAAUUUCCAGAUGACUCAGUCUCCAUCCUCCCUGACUGCAUCUGUAGGAGAGAGAGUCACCAUCACUUGCUGGGCGAGUCAGGGCAUUUGCAAUUAUUUAAGCUAGUAUCAGUAGAAACUAGAGAAUCCUCCUAAGCUCCUGAUCUAUGCUGCAUCCAGUUUGCAAUCUGGGGUCCCGUCACGGUUCAGUGGCAGUAGGUCUGGGACACAUUUCACACAUUCUCACCAUCAGGAGCCUGCAACCUGAAGAUGUUAUAACUUAUUGCUGUCUAUAGACUUACAGCAGCCAU